rnacentral:rRNA from 1 species
CAGUCGCCGCGGGAAUACGUAGGGUGCGAGCGUUAAUCGGAAUUACUGGGCGUAAAGCGUGCGCAGGCGGUUGUGUAAGACAGGUGUGAAAUCCCCGGGCUUAACCUGGGAACUGCGCUUGUGACUGCACAGCUAGAGUAUGGCAGAGGGGGGUGGAAUUCCACGUGUAGCAGUGAAAUGCGUAGGGAUGUGGAGGAACACCGAUGGCGAAGGCAGCCCCCUGGGCCAAUACUGACGCUCAUGCACGAAAGCGUGGGGAGCAAACAGGAUUAGAGACCCCAGUAGUCCCUGUCUCUUAUAC